GUGCUCACUUUGGCAGCAUAUAUACUGUAAAACUGGAGCGAUACAGAGAAUAACAUGAUCCCUGUGCAAGGAUGGCGUGCAAAUUUGUGAAGUGUCCCCCCCAAAA